GAUGAACGCUGGCGGCGUGCCUAAUACAUGCAAGUCGAGCGAACAGACGAGGAGCUUGCUCCUCUGACGUUAGCGGCGGACGGGUGAGUAACACGUGGAUAACCUACCUAUAAGACUGGGAUAACUUCGGGAAACCGGAGCUAAUACCGGAUAAUAUAUUGAACCGCAUGGUUCAAUAGUGAAAGACGGUUUUGCUGUCACUUAUAGAUGGAUCCGCGCCGCAUUAGCUAGUUGGUAAGGUAACGGCUUACCAAGGCAACGAUGCGUAGCCGACCUGAGAGGGGGAUCGGCCACACUGGAACUAAGACACGGUCCAGACUCCUACGGGAGGAAGCAGUAGGGAAUCUUCCGCAAUGGGCGAAAGCCUGACGGAGCAACGCCGCGUGAGUGAUGAAGGUCUUCGGAUCGUAAAACUCUGUUAUUAGGGAAGAACAAAUGUGUAAGUAACUAUGCACGUCUUGACGGUACCUAAUCAGAAAGCCACGGCUAACUACGUG
rnacentral:rRNA from 1 species